rnacentral:rRNA from 1 species
UGGGGAAUUUUGGACAAUGGGCGAAAGCCUGAUCCAGCAAUGCCGCGUGUGUGAAGAGGGCCUUCGGGUUGUAAAGCACUUUUGUCCGGAAAGAAAUCCUUGGCUCUAAUACAGUCGGGGGAUGACGGUACCGGAAGAAUAAGCACCGGCUAACUACGUGCCAGCAGCCGCGGUAAUACGUAGGGCGCAAGCGUUAAUCGGAAUUACUGGGCGUAAAGCGUGCGCAGGCGGUUUGCUAAGACCGAUGUGAAAUCCCCGGGCUCAACCUGGGAACUGCAUUGGUGACUGGCAGGCUAGAGUAUGGCAGAGGGGGGUAGAAUUCCACGUGUAGCAGUGAAAUGCGUAGAGAUGUGGAGGAAUACCGAUGGCGAAGGCAGCCCCCUGGGCCAAUACUGACGCUCAUGCACGAAAGCGUGGGGAGCAAACAGGAUUAGAUACCCUGGUAGUCCACGCCCUAAACGAUGUCAACUAGUUGUUGGGGAUUCAUUUCCUUAGUAACGUAGCUAACGCGUGAAGUUGACCGCCUGGGGAGUACGGUCGCAAGAUUAAAACUCAAAGGAAUUGACGGGGUCAUAGCUGUUUCCU